rnacentral:rRNA from 1 species
UACGGAGGGGGCUAGCGUUGUUCGGAUUUAUUGGGCGUAAAGAGCGUGUAGGCGGCCCGAUUAGUCCGCUGUGAAAGUCCAGGGCUCAACCCUGGAAUGCCGGUGGAUACUGUCGGGCUAGAGUCCGGAAGGGGCGAGUGGAAUUCCUGGUGUAGCGGUGAAAUGCGCAGAUAUCAGGAGGAACACCAAUGGCGAAGGCAGCUCGCUGGGACGUGACUGACGCUGAGACGCGAAAGCGUGGGGAGCAAACAGG